rnacentral:rRNA from 1 species
UACGUAGGGGGCUAGCGUUGUCCGGAAUCGAUUGGGCGUAAAGAGCUCUGUGAGGCGGCUUGUCGCGUCGACUGUGAAAUCCCGCGGCUCAACUGCGGGUCUCGCAGUCGAUACGGGCAGGCUAGAGUUCGGUGAGGGGAGACUGGAAUUCCUGGUGUAGCGGUGAAAUGCGCAGAUAUCAGGAGGAACACCGGUGGCGAAGGCGGUUCCCUGGGCAUUACCUGACGCUGAGGAGCGAAAAGUGUGGGGAGCGAACAGG